rnacentral:rRNA from 1 species
AUUCCAGGUGUAGCGGUGAAAUGCGUAGAGAUCUGGAGGAAUACCGGUGGCGAAGGCGGCCCCCUGGACGAAGACUGACGCUCAGGUGCGAAAGCGUGGGGAGCAAACAGGAUUAGAUACCCUGGUAGUCCACGCCGUAAACGAUGUCGACUUGGAGGUUGUGCCCUUGAGGCGUGGCUUCCGGAGCUAACGCGUUAAGUCGACCGCCUGGGGAGUACGGCCGCAAGGUUAAAACUCAAAUGAAUUGACGGGGGCCCGCACAAGCGGUGGAGCAUGUGGUUUAAUUCGAUGCAACGCGAAGAACC